AGUAACACGUAGGUAACCUGCCCAUGUGCCCGGGAUAACUUCUGGAAACGGAUGCUAAAACCGGAUAGGUAGCAGACAAGCAUUUGACUGCUAUUAAAGUGGCUAAGGCCAUGAACAUGGAUGGACCUGCGGUGCAUUAGCUAGUUGGUGAGGUAACGGCCCACCAAGGCGACGAUCAGUAGCCGACCUGAGAGGGUGACCGGCCACACUGGGACUGAGACACGGCCCAGACUCCUCGGGAGGGCAGCAUG
rnacentral:rRNA from 1 species